AAUGGCUCCAAAAUAAAUACCAAAUGAAGAGGGAGUUGAUUCGUCGUAUGCUAAUGAAAACCGUUCUCAAGGGAUCCUUCACAUGAACGAUAGCUUCUCGAGAUAUCCGGCAUCAAACUUUAAUGACUGCGUGUGUUAAUAACGAAUCCAUCAAUAGCCAUAAGCGCUGCACUUGUUAUCGUUGAUGUAGGUGGUUGAUUGAGUGACGGCGGAGAGUCUUGGCGGAGGAAGCAGCAGCGGUUGAAGGUGAAGAUGAAGGGACCGUGAAGGUUGGAUGGAG
rnacentral:lncRNA from 1 species